GACGUAGGGUCCAAGCGUUGUCCGGAUUUACUGGGCGUAAAGGGCGCGUAGGCGGCCACCGCAAGUCGACUGUGAAAUCUCCGGGCUUAACCCGGAAAGGUCAGCCGAUACUGCGGGGCUAGAGUGCAGAAGGGGCAACUGGAAUUCUCGGUGUAGCGGUGAAAUGCGUAGAUAUCGAGAGGAACACCUGCGGCGAAGGCGGGUUGCUGGGCUGACACUGACGCUGAUGCGCGAAAGCUAGGGGAGCGAACGGG
rnacentral:rRNA from 1 species